rnacentral:rRNA from 1 species
GAUGAACGCUGGCGGCGUGCCUAACACAUGCAGGUCGAGCGAUUCUCUUCGGAGAAGAGCGGCGGACGGGUGAGUAACGCGUGGGUAACCUGCCCUGUACACACGGAUAACAUACCGAAAGGUAUGCUAAUACGGGAUAACAUAAGAAAUUCGCAUGUUUUUCUUAUCAAAGCUCCGGCGGUACAGGAUGGACCCGCGUCUGAUUAGCUAGUUGGUGAGGUAACGGCUCACCAAGGCGACGAUCAGUAGCCGACCUGAGAGGGUGAUCGGCCACAUUGGAACUGAGACACGGUCCAAACUCCUACGGGAGGCAGCAGUGGGGAAUAUUGCACAAUGGGCGAAAGCCUGAUGCAGCAACGCCGCGUGAGCGAUGAAGGCCUUCGGGUUGUAAACCACUUCUUGGGAGCCAUGAAGGCGCCCAGAAUAAGGAACUACUAACUACGUGCCAGCCGCCGCGGUAA